CAGUAGCCGCGGUAAUACGAAGGGUGCAAGCGUUACUCGGAAUUACUGGGCGUAAAGCGUGUGUAGGUGGUUGUUUAAGUCUGUCGUGAAAGCCCUGGGCUCAACCUGGGAAUUGCGAUGGAUACUGGGCGACUAGAGUGCGGUAGAGGAUAGUGGAAUUUCCGGUGUAGCAGUGAAAUGCGUAGAGAUCGGAAGGAACAUCUGUGGCGAAGGCGACUAUCUGGGCCAACACUGACACUGAGACACGAAAGCGUGGGGAGCAAACAGGAUUAGAUACCCCCGUAGUCCCUGUCUCUUAUAA
rnacentral:rRNA from 1 species